UGCCUCUUUUUCUCUCAGAACCGAGAGAAGGAAGAAGAGAAAGAAAAGAUGGGAAAUUUUCUCAUUUUUGCGAUCUACGAAGAUCUAACGGUCCGAUCUUCGAUCCGUCUUCGAAAACGUGAUCCUUGCACUUGGAUCUACGUUUCCACCGAUCGUUUUAAGGUAAUGGGUUACUUGGAACUUGCUUAAGACUACCCAAACCAUGGGUUUUGGUUUGGUGAAUUUUGGAUCAUGUUCGGAUUGGAGACUUUAAUUGGUUCUCCAAUGUAGAGUCCAAAUGACUAGAGUCCAAGGAGUGUUCGAGUUGGAGUCUAAUGCAGCCAAGAUGAUGUUUCUUUGGCUGCAGGUACUUCGGUAUAGUCGAUGGGUCGAUAGCAGUGUGCUUGGGAUAUUAUGACUGAAGCUCGCCGCGACAGUUGUAAUGGUCGGACCACGGGUUGUCCACUAUUUCAUAGGUUUGGUAUGGCUUGUGACGUUUGUGUCACUUAUUCUUUGUUAAGCCAUUAUUGUUAUAGUGUUAAUAAGACUCAAACAGAUAGAUAUUAAAUGGCUCUUUGUUGUAAUUAACUUGUGAUAGAUGUAUAAGUUGUAAUUUCCGCUAUACAGAUUUAUGUUUUCCGCUGCAUA